UGUGGUAUACUAUUCGAAAUACAACUCUGAAAGGAAAAAAAAAAAAUUUCUCCAUCGAUUUGAUUCUGCUGAGUAUUGGAUAUUUGAUGUUAGAUGCUGUUGCAACGCUAAACUUUUCAACUAUUAGUUUUUUAGGAUAUUCAAAACAUUUUCAAUAUAUGUAAGUUGAGAGUUUCAAAAAAAAGUUUUAUUCCAAUUUGCUGAAAUUAACAACAUUUUAGUAGAUAUAACUGCACAGUUCUCUAAUGAUCCAGAAGAAGGUUUUACACAACGUAAAAUUUCAGAUGAACUUAAUGUUUUGAAAAGAAAAAUUGCAAAUAUAGAUAUCCAAUACAUCGCUUUUGUAUUAGUAAAACAGUUAUCAUUAAUUAGCGGUAAAAAAUCGAGUAGAUACAAUUAAAAAUAUUUUGCUCUUACUACCAACAGACACUAUUUUGUCCGAAUACAGCAUGAAUGGUCUAAAGAAGAAAAAAAAGUUUAAAGAAUUGACAAGUCUAUGUAAUGCUGAAACUGCUUUAAAGUCAAAUAAAAACAAAAUGGAUGCCAUCCAUCCAACUUAUUGGGAGAGUAAUUAGGAAUUCUUCUGACCGAUUAAAGAAAACAUCCACUAAUAUGAAUAUCGAUCAAUGAUCGGCUUAA